GAGCCCAGCGCAUAACCUGGCGUCGUGACCCGGCGCCAGGGGUGUUGCGUUUCGGAGGGUCCGGCACGCAGUCUCUCACCGCCUAAGUUAUGCUUGAAAGCGGCCACUACCCAUGGAGGGUGACAGGCCCGUGUGGCGGCGCCCGCGAGGGUACACGAGAGAUUGUCGGAAAGGGCCUCUCCGUAGAGUCGGGUUGCUUGAUAAUGCAGCCCUAAGCAGGUGGUAAACUCCAUCUAAGGCUAAAUAUGACCACGAGACCGAUAGCGAACAAGUACCGUGAGGRAAAGUUGAAAAGAACUUUGAAGAGAGAGUUCAAGAGUACGUGAAACCGUUAAGAGCCAAACGGGUGGGACCUCGAAGGUCGAACCGAGGGGAUUCAGCUCGUCGGCCCAUGUCGGCCGGGUGUGGGAUUCGCUGAGGCGACCCAGGAACUCUUGGGCGUGCCCGCACCCGAGCUGGCGCCGGCGGGCGUAUUUCCCCUCGUGAUGUAGGUCGCCGCGACCCGUUGCUGGGGACGUCUAAGGCCCGGGCGGACUGGUACCCCGACGUCGCGCGCCUCACCGCGCCGGCGAAGGGGGAAACCUCCGGUGUCCUGGCUGCCCUGCGACGGUCGUGUAGCAGAGGRGCGGCGAAGCCCGCCUUUCCUCUCGCGGCGUGCAAAAGGUCGGUGACCCACCCGACCCGUCUUGAAACACGGACCAAGGAGUCUAACAUGUGUGCGAGUCAUUGGGCGCACUAAACCCAAAGGCGCAAUGAAAGUGAAAGGCCCGGGGUCUUUUCUCCGGGCCGGGGCCGAUCCCCGACCGGCCGAUGCCGCCGUUUGGUCGUACCGUUCCAAAGCGGGGCCCUCGAGGCGGCGCGCGCGGAGUGAGACCCUUUCCUCCGCCGCGCCGUCGGYUCCGUGGGCGACCCGGCGCGCUCGGUGGUCCGACCUCGCGUCGCCUGUACGCAGGGGGGCGCAGGCCCGGGACUUGCCAUUCGACGCUGUCGCGCGAAUCUGUUGUUGACCUCAUCGGCUCUGCUUGGGCUCUCGUCUGGCGCGCCGCGUGUCUGGGCGGGUUUCGGGGGGGGGCCUCGGCUCCUUCCCGGGCUCGUUCGGCGCGGUUGCGCCUUGCGAUCCUGCUCUGUCCGGAGUGGCCUAGCGCGCGUGCUGUCGGCAAGUACCACGAGCAGACAUGUUGGGACCCGAAAGAUGGUGAACUAUGCCUGGCCAGGAUGAAGCCAGA
rnacentral:rRNA from 1 species